rnacentral:rRNA from 1 species
GACGAACGCUGGCGGCGCGCCUAACACAUGCAAGUCGAACGGAGCUGAGAGAAGCUUGCUUUUCUUAGCUUAGUGGCGAACGGGUGAGUAACGCGUGAGUAACCUGCCCUGGAGUGGGGGACAACAGUUGGAAACGACUGCUAAUACCGCAUAAGCCCACGAUCCGGCAUCGGAUUGAGGGAAAAGGAUUUAUUCGCUUCAGGAUGGACUCGCGUCCAAUUAGCUAGUUGGUGAGGUAACGGCCCACCAAGGCGACGAUUGGUAGCCGGACUGAGAGGUUGAACGGCCACAUUGGGACUGAGACACGGCCCAGACUCCUACGGGAGGCAGCAGUGGGGGAUAUUGCACAAUGGGGGAAACCCUGAUGCAGCGACGCCGCGUGGAGGAAGAAGGUUUUCGGAUUGUAAACUCCUGUCGUGAGGGACGAUAAUGACGGUACCUAACAAGAAAGCACCGGCUAACUACGUG